GCUUGUCUCAAAGAUUAAGCCAUGCAUGUCUCAGUAUAAAUUUUUAUAUGGUGAAGCUGUGAAUAGCUCAUUAAACCAGUUACAGCUUAUUUGGUGAUCACUCUUUACAUGGAUAACCAUGGCAAUUCUGCUGCUAAUACAUGCGUAUGCGCCUGACUCUGUGGAAGGGUUGUAUUUAUUAGGUACAGAACCAAUGCAAGCUCCGCUUGACCUUUUGGUGAUUCAUGGUAACCGAACGAAUCGCACGGCACCAGCUGGCGAUGGACCAUUUCAGUUUCUGACCUAUCAGCUUCCGACGGUAGGAUAUGGGCCUACCGUGGCAAUGACGGGUAACGGAGAAUUAGGGUUCGAUUCCGGAGAGGGAGCCUGAGAAACGGCUACCACAUCUAAGGAAGGCAGCAGG
rnacentral:rRNA from 1 species